rnacentral:rRNA from 1 species
AUGUCUGUGUCGUCGGCGCUGUCGUCGUUCCUGUACGGCUGCUUCAACCCGGCGGGCGGGCGGUACCACCACCACCGCGCGGGGGCCUACUACCACAGCAGCCACCCCACGAGCGCUGACACCCUGUACUACAACCAGGGCGGGUUCGCCGGCGGCCGCAGGAUGGGCCGGAGCAGCCGGCCGCUGUCCCUGCAGACGGUGGAGCUGAAGGUGCGGAUGUGCUGCUCGGGGUGCGCGCGGGUGGUGAAGCACGCGCUGACGAAGCUGCGCGGGGUGGACAGCGUGGAGGUGGAGGUGGAGAUGGAGAAGGUGACGGUGACCGGGUACGUGGAGCGGCACCGGGUGCUCAAGGAGGUGCGGCGCGCCGGGAAGAAGGCCGAGUUCUGGCCCAACCCGGACCAGCCGCUGCACUUCACCACCGCCAAGGACUACUUCCACGACCAGGAGUCGUUCCGCCCCAGCUACAACUACUACCGCCACGGCUACAACGGCGACAAGCACGGCCACCUCCCCGAGCCCCACCGCGGCUCCGACCCCGUCAGCAACAUGUUCAACGACGACGACGUCAACGCCUGCUCCAUCAUGUAA